rnacentral:rRNA from 1 species
AGUGAACGCUGGCGGCAGGCCUAACACAUGCAAGUCGAACGGCAGCACAGUAAGAGCUCGCCCUUACGGGUGGCGAGUGGCGGACGGGUGAGGAAUACAUCGGAUUCUACUUUUUCGUGGGGGACAACGUAGGGCAACUUACGCUAAUACCGCAUACGACCUACGGGUGAAAGCAGGGGAUCUUCGGACCUUGCGCGACUGAAUGAGCUGAUGUCGGAUUAGCUAGUUGGCGUGGUAAAGGCACACCAAGGCGACGAUGCGUAGCUGGUCUGAGAGGAUGAUCGGCCACACUGGAACUGAGACACGGUCCAGACUCCUACGGGAGGCAGCAGUGGGGAAUCUUAGACAAUGGGCGCAAGCCUGAUCCAGCCAUACCGCGUGGGUGAAGAAGGCCUUCGGGUCGUAAAGCCCUUUUGUUGGGAAAGAAAAGCAGCAGGUUAAUACCCCGCUGUUCUGACGGUACCCAAAGAAUAAGCACCGGCUAACUUCGUG